rnacentral:rRNA from 1 species
GAGUUUGAUCCUGGCUCAGAUUGAACGCUGGCGGCAUGCUUUACACAUGCAAGUCGAACGGCAGCACAAGGAGCUUGCUCCUGGGUGGCGAGUGGCGAACGGGUGAGUAAUGUAUCGGAACGUGCCUGGUAGUGGGGGAUAACCACUCGAAAGAGUGGCUAAUACCGCAUGAGAUCUCUGGAUGAAAGCGGGGGACCUUUGGGCCUCGCGCUACCGGAGCGGCCGAUAUCAGAUUAGGUUGUUGGUGGGGUAAAGGCCUACCAAGCCUGCGAUCUGUAGCUGGUCUGAGAGGACGACCAGCCACACUGGGACUGAGACACGGCCCAGACUCCUACGGGAGGCAGCAGUGGGGAAUUUUGGACAAUGGGCGCAAGCCUGAUCCAGCAAUGCCGCGUGCAGGAUGAAGGCCCUCGGGUUGUAAACUGCUUUUGUACAGAACGAAAAGUCUCUGGCUAAUACCUGGGGAUCAUGACGUACU